AGAUAGAGGAGUGCUCGAAGAGAGCCGUAACACAGGUGCUGCAUGGCUGUCGUCAGCUCGUGUCGUGAGAUGUUGGGUUAAAGUCCCCGCAACCGAGCGCAACCCUUGUCAUUAGUUGCUACAUUCAGUUGGGCACUCUAAUGAGACUGCCGGUGACAAACCGGAGGAAGGUGGGGAUGACGUCAAGUCCUCAUGGCCCUUAUAGGUGGGGCUACACACGUCAUACAAUGGAUGGUACAAAGGGUCGCCAACCCGCGAGGGGGAGCCAAUCCCAUAAAGCCAUUCGUAGUCCGGAUCGCAGUUUGCAACUCGACUGCGUGAAGUCGGAAUCGCUAGUAAUCGUGGAUCAGAAUGUCACGGUGAAUACGUUCCCGGGUCUU
rnacentral:rRNA from 1 species